GACCCGUUAGCUCAGCGGUGAGAGCAUCCAACUAAGUGUAUAUCACUUGGAGAAGGUCGGAGGUUCAAAUCCUUCACGGGUUG